AUAGUACGUUGAAUCAGUAUCCCAAGACGAUCCCGAAUUCAUUAAGAUCUAGAAGAUUCAAAUACAAAGCUAGAUCGAGGAAAGGAAAAAGUUCGGGAUUAGUAGAUUUUUGUUUACAAGCAAGUCUCGAGUGUUAAGAGCUCGGAGGUCGGAUUUGGUCGGAGACACAUCACACUAUCAACUUCAAGAUUUCGGUAUAUCAAGAAACUUUAUUUUGAAAAUCAAUGGCAUGUAUAAGCUAAUAAAGUAAAUGUUAACGUGAAAUGAAUGUAAAGUUAGUCAUUGGUAUGGUUAACAAACCUGAUUUUGGUAUGUGAUGAUGUUAUCUUAUAAAUAUGCGUGAAUCUAUAUGCGUUAAUCUAUCUUGAAAAUA